UGAGAGCUAUCCAAAAACACAACCUGACUGAUUUCUAUUUCUUACCUAUGGCCUAUGUAUGGGUGUAGUUGAAAGCUAUAAUUAAUUUUUAUUGAUAUUGUUGCCCUCUCACACGGAAAGUGAUAUGAGUACAACACAUGUAACCGUCCAAUAUUGUCGCCCAUAAAACGAAGUUCAUCCAACCCACUACGACCUUAUUAAGGGUGUUUUUUUUUUUUUUGAUUCAUAUGAGCCACGAAGGCGGUACAAAUUACAAAGAAGGGGAGGGGGGAAUCGAACCUGUGACCUAUCGAUCACAGCACCUCAAUCUUAACCACUAGGCCAAGACAUCUUUGAUUAUAAGGGCGUUUUCUUUAAUAGUAGUUGAAAUAGCUUUUAGUUCCUAUUUUUUUUGGAUUGAAAUAAAUGAACUGAACUUAUAUUGGAUUAAAUGAUGAAAAGCAAAGCAUCAUGUUUUAGAAGGGUAUGGUGCUUUGAACUUGUAUCUAUAUAUGAACUAUACUAUGUUGCUGUUGAACUUAUAUUUGGGCUUUCAUUAUUUUGUUAGAAGAAAACAAAAAAACAUGUGUUACUAUUGUGUACUCUUAUAUUGGGCUUUCACGUUGUACCUUACGAUUGUUUCAUUUAGGAAUGCUAUGACAUAUAAACAUGUGCUUCUUGCAUUACCACAACAAAUCUUAAAUUAAUUAUAGUAGUUCAAUUUAAUGUAGACACCUUUAAAGUAUUCAAUCUAGUAUUUGGUGUAAUUAUACCUGGCACUUCUCUUUGGGCUAAAAACAUGCAAAUGGUUCAUUAAAUGACUAAGUUUGACAAUUGAACACAUUUCUUUCUGUGACCAGAAGUGCUUUGUGACUCUCUUUACUUGUUGUUUACUUCCGUCUAUAAUCCCUCUUCUUCCCUCCCUCCUAACACUCCUUAGAAGGUAAAGGUCAUGAGUUGCAAUUAGUUGGAAAGCUCUGACGUAGAUAUAAAUGUAGUGUAAAGGCGAAUCACUUUUCUCUGUAUGACAAUGAUGAACACAAAUUAGAGAAUGCGUCAAAUACAAUCCAGAUUGGCAUUUCAAGCAGUUGUUGGAGUACUGAAAAUUGGAUAUAAUUCAGGAAGAAAGUGAAAAGAAAAGGAAAAGCAGCAUAAACCAAAAGGAUAGAGACACUAUGGUCCUAGCUUUGCAAGGAAGAACUAUGGAUUGGUAAAAUCAAAUACACAAUAUAUGAUAAUUCAUUUUUUCAUUUUCAACAUUCACAUAUGCUCACUAAAAUUUGAAGUUCUUCAAUGUGUUUAAUAUGUAUAUAUCUCCAUGAAAGCAACAACGUGAUCAUGAGAAGAAGCUACCAUCACAAGCAUUUGCAUACAAAGAAAGCCGCAAAAGGAACGAGGGCAAUGAAUGUAAAUUACCUUAUGAGCAUCUUCAAAUUAACAUUAAUAAGAUGGAGGAGAUAGAAGUGCAAUAUAGAAAUGAUGGUGCAGAUUCUAGAGCAAUGACAGAAUUAAAAAAAAAGUUAGUAAAGAAGAGGAAUAAAGCUUCUUUGGGUGAAUCUAUAUUUCUUGACGAGUUUUUAAUUAUUUUUUUUUUUUACGGGUAACAAAAGAAGAAGAAUUUUUGUAGACGGAAAAAUGUGUUCUUGGAUCUAAACAUCUCUAGACACAGAACAUUUUUUAGUAGACAAAUCAUACACCUUAUAUCCUUUUUUACUAGGAGGAUAACCCAUGAAUAGACAUUUAGUAGCUCCAGGGCUGAACUUGUCUCUUUUCCAAUCUGUAUUAUGAACAAAACACAAACAAUCAAAGACCUAAUAAAACUAUAAUCAGGGAUAGUAUUUGUCAAAACUUCAAAGGGACUUUUCUAAUUUAGAAUAGGUGUGGGAAUUUAUUUUUUUUGCUAAUUAAGUAAGAUUUUCAUUCCUUCAAACUGUUAAUACACCUAAGCUAACCAAAGUUAACGAACCAACUAGGUUGGACCCUUAACAAUGCUAGCAAACCCAUCAAUACAACAGUUUUACUUCAUUACAAUUACAAGAACCAAUUAAAAUAUGUUCUACUAAUAUUCCCGGGCAUUAUAGCUCCAAUUCUAGCUCUCACACUCUGUUUGAUUUGCUUAAUACUCCACUCUAUACUUGGACUACUUUGUUACCAGUACACCUUAUUUCUCCCUUUCCAGACUUGGUAUACCACUGCAGUAAUUCCUACAUACCACCUCUUUUCUGAACUUCGAAUUUCUACUAUUCUUCACCCAGUUGAGGAGUCUUUCAAAAUCAGUGGUGAUUGCUUGAAUGUUUAGCCAUAGUUUCACACCCUUCAAACAUGCCUCACUAUAUAUGCACUGAAAAAACAAAUGACAAUGAUUCUCCUCUGCAUCUGCACAUAAUAAACAUUGAUCUGAAUUUCUUAUGCCCAUUCUAGCUAAUCUUGCAGUAGUUUGCAAUCUCUUCUGUAUGGCCAUCCAUUCAAUAAAUCUAUGCUUAUAGAUAACCUAUUCCAUAUAGCUUUAGCCCACACCACCUCAGGUCUUCCCCUCUAAUCUUAUCAUACACAUCUUGUAUAGAAUAGUCAGCCAUCUCACACAUCUCCCUUUCUGUAUAAAGAGUU